UUAAUAAAAAAAAGAAAAAGAAAAAAAAGAAAAAAAAAGAAGGGGGUGAUUUGUUAUGUGAAUAUUUUGAGAAGAAACCUUUGUUUAGUCAUAUUUCUUUGUUUAGUCUUGCCUCAGUUGUUCCUGGUAUCGUAGGAAUAAUGAUCUUAUGGUAUCUUGCCAAAAUGGAAAUUGUAGUAAUGCAUAUUCAUAUCUACAUAAGGAUUAAUAAAGCUUGCAACUGCGUGCAGUCGCUUCUGCCUUUUCUCUGCACCCCCCGUGUCCUGGUUGGGUGCGACCAAACCCAGGGCCCCCAUUGCACUAGACAUUGACAAAUGGUACCCAAACAGGGACCCUGAAGAUGUAUUGUCUGGCACUAAUCCCAGAGGAAUGCAACCUAAUGAAUUGUGGCAGAUGGAUGUAAACCAUAUUCUGAGUUUGGUCGCCUUUCAUAUAUACAUGAAUCCAAUUAAACCAGCUGUACUUUCUCCUGAUGGAAGUCCUUCAGAGAUGAAGGAGGUGUCCUCCAUUACUGAGGCCAUGGCUUCUCUUAAGAUUGAUAAACAACAACAGAGAAGGAUGCGUACAGUGACAACCCCAUUGCCUACCUGGGGUCAGGUGAAGCAUUUAACCAUUGAAGGACGAAAAAUGUUGUCUCGUACGGGAAAGUUCUUUACUGCUGAGCAUUUAUUUUUAGCAAUGUGUGCUAUACUCACAGUAUCUUCUGCUGAGUUAUUGGGCUUAUAUUCCUAAUCCACCCUUAUUUGAGCCUUCUACUUGAGGGGAAACAGAUGUGGUGUUAUACAACACUCCAAACAUUUUAUCAUCUCCUUGGAAUAAUUUGACUUAUUUGAACAAGCAUGAUGGAACUUUGUAUAAUUUUACUUAUGCUGGCUCUAAGAUGCCUUUAUGUUUAGGACAGAGACCAUGACUCCAAAUGGGCUAUCAAAGUUGGCUAUUACCAGAAAUAAAUGUUACAGUUUCCAGGACUCUCUUGACAGCUUGGUCUAUAAACCAAAACUGGAAUAACAUUAUAUUUGUUAGUGAGUCAGUAUAUCCUAUUUGUGCUCAAUUUGCUUAUAUAGGCUUAAAAUAUCACCCAUUCAUUGGAAGAACUGCCUUGGCACAUUUGGAAAAAUUAUUCAAGAUAAAUAGAUAAAUUGGGGUCCUUAUGGUCAAUUUAUUAAUCAUGUUCAGAAUGGAAUGUUACCACUUGUGAUUUGUCUAAUGUUACCAGGAUGACCAGAGAGGAGAAGGAACACCUUAAUGGAUUCUUGCUGAUGGUAUGGGGAGAUGGUGGCAUUGCUGAUAAUUGACUGGCCUCUGUGGAAGAUCCUACUGCGUUUCAAAUUCACUUGUGGAAGACUGCUGCUGCAUUAGAAGAAGUUGUGCUUGCUAAUGGAAGCUUUUCUGGGACUGUUCAGUCUUCCUCUCAGUAUAAUUUUACCACAUUUAAAAAAGAAAAGGUUAGGGGUUGGGGAUUUAGCUCAGUGGUAGAGCGCUGGGUUCAGUCCCCAGCUCCGAAAAAAAAAAAAAGAAAGAAAGAAAAAAAGAAAGAAAAGGCUACUACUUGUAUUCAUAUGCCAUAUUUGUUUUUAAGAGGUAGAUCUAAUUUUACUAAUGUAUUUGCUUAUAUUAGCUGUCAUUUGUAUUCAUGUAUUAAUUCAUCUAUUCAGUUUAAUAUAAAUCAAGAUUCUAUUAUGAUUAUUCAGCAAGAAUUAUAUGUAUGGAUGCCUGUUAAUUUGGGAUGUCAUUGGUCUCAAGAUCCUCUUAAUCAUGUGAUUAGUGAAUUUUUUAAUAAUCUGCUAAAGAGAAGUAAAAACAUGAUUGGAGUCAUUGUAUCUUACUUGGCAGGAGUUUCCAGCAUAGCAUUAAAAACAUCUAUUCAGACAGAGCAUUUUGUUGAAGACUGGCAUAAAGAUUCAUAUGAGUUAUGGAUAGAACAAGGUAAAAUGAUACUAGACUUCAACAUCAAAUAGAUGUUUUAAAACAAACAGUAGAAUGGUUGGGUCGAAUGAUGUUAUCUAUUGAAAAACAUGUGAAUUUAAGUUGUGAUUGGAAGUCAACUAAUUUUUGUGUUACUGAAUAUAUGUAUAAUGAUACAGAACAUGACUGGAAGUUAAUUCAAGCCAAUUUAGAAGGUAAUGAGAGUGCUACAAAAGUAAAGAGUGCCUUGAAAUAUGAUGUUCGUAUGUCUUUUGGUAAACAGCUAGAAGAUACUACCCCUGAAGAAAUAGCUAAAUUAUUGACUGAUCAAUUGACAGGAUUAGAUCCCAAGGCUUGGCUUCAAAGUAUUUUCCAUAGCUUGGGAUGGGCUAGUUUUGCCAUAAUAUUAUGUACAUUAUAUAUUAUGUUGCUUUAUUUUUGCAUGAGUAAACCCCUACAAGGGCAUUUAGCUAUAUUAUGGAAAGUGUUACUUUUAAAACAAAAGAAAAAAGAAGGAAUUGUUAAGACAUAGAGAUGCAGCUCCCAGCAGGGUCAAGUAAGGACUGGACAGGUGCAAGUAGGGGCUGGAAUGCCGCCCUUGAGAAGAAAAUGUUUUUCUCACUUGGCCUUAAACUGUGGUCUUCUGUGUCCUGUUUCUGUGGAAGCAGUUCUCAUGCUCUGUUGGUAAUGGCAAGUAUACUUUGAUAAUAAGAAGAGGGGUGAUUUUGAGAAGAAACCUUUGUUUAGUCGUAUUUCUUUGUUUAGUCUUGCCUCAGUUGUUCCUGAGAUCGUGGGAAUAAUGAUCUUAUGGUAUCUUACCAAAAUGGAAAUUGUAGUAGUGCAUAUUCAUAUCUAUACAAGGAUUA